ensembl:lncRNA
UAAUAAUAAUAAUAAUAGUAAUAAUAAUAAUAAUAAUAGUAAUAAUAAUAAUAAUAGUAAUAAUAGUAAUAAUAAAGACACUUUCACACACUGCUAGUGAUGGUGAGCUACUUUGUAGCUACAGCCGCCCUGGGGCGGUCUGACAGAGGUGAGGCUGCCAUUUGGUGCCUUCAACCCCUCUGACCACCACUAACACAGGCAAGCUGGGUGAAGUGUCUUGCCCAAGGACACAACAGCAGAAUACCCCUGGUGGUAGCUGGAAUCAAACCCAUGACUUGUUAUGCUAGGGUUAGGGUUAAACAUCGGACCGCCUCAGGGCGGCUGUGCCUCCACCCCCACCUCAACACCAUCUUCCUGGAAGUUAAUCCUUGCAGCUGUGGCAGAUGGUGCUGGGAAUUUCCACGACCGUGGCCUCAGCAGCGCCUGUAGUUAUGAAUGAUCUGGAGGCCGUGGGCAUUAAGUUGGAUCAGUGUAAUCCAUCCCAGCAUAUGCAACCUCCAAAUCCAGCAGGCAGGAGAAUGUUCCUCCAUUGAUUUCUGUUAGAAAUGCUGUCCAAGAUUAACGCAGGCCCAGAAUUCAUGCCUGAUGCUCGACUUACACGUCGGGACACGGACAUGUCUCAGCAAAAACAACAACACAUCCCGGUCACUAGAUGGAGAGUUGUUAAUUGGGUUUAAGCCACGGAUCCCCGGUUUGACGCUUCUGGACGUCUGAACUGUUCUCCAUAGAGAUUUUUAAAGGAAGAAAGAAAACAAUCUUUUAUUUAGCGCCUCAAGGUAAAAGUCAUCAGGCGCUUCAGAAAAAUAAAAAACAACAAAGGUAUAAAAAGAUUCUAAAUAUGUUUUAAAUGAGAAAAAAUAUAAACUGUGAUUAAAAAUAUAAGGAAAGGUAGAAAGAGCAGAACCGGGAGAGGGAGGUGAUGAAGGUCCCACCAAACCUGAACAGGUGAGUUUAAAGGAGACCACUGAGUCCACUGAUCUGAGGCUCAGGGGGAGAGAGGUCCAGAGUCUGGGGGCCACAGCAGCAGAUGAUCUGUCACCUUUGACCUUUAUUAGGGCUGAACAUUAGGGAAAAUAAUCUAAUUGCGAUUUAAUUCACGAUUAUUUUCUCAAGGGGCUUUUCUCAUAUUUCAACUGACGGAAGCAAAUAAAAAAACCUAUGUAACUGGUGCUGAAUAUAAACACGUUUAUGUAUCUACAUAUUUAUCUACAUGUUUGUUUGUCUACAUAAACACUCACAAGUAAAGACAACAAUUGGUGUUUGAAGGUGUGAUCCUCCAGGAGCACGUCCCUUGAAGGAGAGCAGGUAUUAGCCUCAGCUGUGAACAUUUAUUAGCAGGACAGAAGUGUGUCCCGAUUAUUCAAGUCUUUUGUGUUUAGAGUUGUUGACGUCUUGUCCAUGUAGAUCUUCCGUAGUUCAGUUACGUUCAUAGCUGCUAGCCAAAACUCAGAAGUUAGCCCCUUACAGUUUUCUAGCUUUACUAAAACAUCUGUCUGUACUUAUUUGAUUGAUGGCAGUUUUUACUAUUUAUUAGACUCCAAAUGUAAUAAUUUGGCACGUUCCUAAUUCCUGAUUUGUAAGAAUGUAAUCAGCAAUAUUAGCAUUAGCAUCCCUAUGGGUUUUUCUAUGUAUAUUAGCAUUGUGCUAACCACUCGCUGCCGGUCAAAUCGCAGCCUUUGUGAUUAGAAAAUCUCCUUUUGUCACAUCACAGUUUAAAUGCAUGUGCAGUUAAUUGUUCAGCCCUGGUCUAGAGGGUUGCUGUAAAGACUC